rnacentral:rRNA from 1 species
UACGAAGGGUGCAAGCGUUGUUCGGAUUUAUUGGGCGUAAAGCGCGCGCAGGCGGACUUGUAAGUCAGGUGUGAAAUCUCGGGGCCUAACCCCGAAAGUGCGCCUGAAACUGUAGGUCUAGAAUAUCGGAGAGGUAAGGGGAAUUUCUCAUGUAGGGGUAAAAUCCGUAGAGAUGAGAAGGAACACCGGAGGCGAAGGCGCCUUACUGGACGAUGAUUGACGCUGAGGCGCGAAAGCGUGGGGAGCAAACAGG